rnacentral:siRNA from 1 species
AAUUGCAGAUAAAGUGCGGUGCGG